GGUGGGGUUCUCGGGGCCCGCCGGGGACCGGCCUGCCGGGGUGGCGCCGUGGGGAUGCCGAGGUAUAACCUGGCAUAGGACAGGGUACUGACCUUAGGAGUGACGGGAAGACCUGUGAUCUCACAGGGGUCUGGCAGCUCUGCGGGGACCUUAGCUCAUUUGCUGGAGGGGCAUCUUUCCUUGUGGUGUUAGGUCCCCGAAUCUCCCCCUUCCGCCCUCCCAACCCCCGCCCCGGCAUUACUCACAAUAAGGGAGCACUAGUGGCCUGGGGUGAGCUAACAUCCUGAGAAUUUUCCUGCUCUGUUUUCUAGAGCCUCAGAGCCACCAGGAGCUCUAGACAAAAUUGUGGGGGAUGAUACGGCUACCGAUGACCUGAGAAUUGGCCUAAGAAUUGUGGAUUUGGGGGUCCACAGGAUUGCCUCUGAGCUGGACAUUUCUGCUCACUUAGCCAGGACACCUGCCACUCUGCCUUAGCCUUUACUUCCUGCUUGCAUGGGGCCCAGAGAUCAACCAAAGAUGCCACCUGGGGAGCUGCUCCAGCCAGGCGAUGAAGCAAAGGUCAGAUCCUUCAGAGAACUGCCAGCCUGGUCAAAAUGCACAACCACACUUUUAAAACAAAGUCCAUAUCAGGGCCCCAGGGAUUCAGGCUACUGUCGUCUGGGCUUUUGCUGGGCUGGGGAAUGGGAGACGGUAGGCAGAGUACGGAAGUGGUAGCCAGAGCUCAGGCCGCCAUCUUGGACUGUGAUGCCCACGAGGAUGGAGAAGCACAGAAUGGAAGGAGAGCUAGCCACUGUGGAGGCAUUAGCCUACCAACUUUGUCUCAGGGGUGGAAAAACAACCCUUAUCUUGUUUAGGUCAUUAUUUUUUGUUUUGUUUUGUUUUUUUCUUGUUUUUUUUUUUAAGUGUAUUUAUUUGAGAGAGACAGAGGCAGCGUGAGUGGGGAGGGGCAGAGAGAGAGAGGGAGAGGGAGAGAAUCCCAAGCAAGCUCUGCACUGCCAUCGCAGAGCCCGGCGCGGGGCUCGAACUCACAAAACUGUGAGACCAUGACCGGAGCCCAAACCAAGAGUUAGACGCUUAACCGACUGAGCCAUCCAGGUGCCCCUAGGUCAUUGUUGUUUGGGGAUUCCCUCACAUGCAGCUGAACGGUGCUUGCAUAAUUCAGCAGACCUUUCCAGCCCCAUUCCCCAUGCCACCAGCUCCCCUCAACUGCCCUUGUAAAGCAUUCACUGCAAGCUAGUACAAGGGCCCGCUCACUUGUCUCUCCUGCUCUCCGAGAACAUCUCCAGACCUGGGACUGGUUCUUUCUUGGAUUCUUGCCAUGAGAUCAGCUUCUUUAAGGCAAGAAAGGGAGGGAUUGGGAAUGAUCGCUGGCUGGGUGCCAACUGUAUGCGCUGUACAUUUUAUUUGUCUUACUUGUUGGAGUGGCCCUGUGAGGGGCAGCGCAGGACUCUUGCUCUCGGGGAAACAGAGGUUCACAGACGCAAAGCUGCUUCUCAGAUGCGCAUAGAUGAAGAGCGAUAGCACUAAGUGUGGAACUCGGGUCUGCCUGGCCUGACACAGGCCUCUCUCCCCCGCUAGAAGUUUCCGUGUCAGCGCACCAGCCAAGUGACCCUUGACGAAUUAAUUCCCUCCGUGGUUCUCCUUUAAGGUCAUCACUGUCAGCUGCUUUUCACAUGCUGGUUUGAGAGGGAUCAAGAAAUGCCUUCCCAAACCUGCUGCCCUUUGGGAAGGCAGGGCUUCUGCCUCCGGCUUUGGUGUUCAGGACGUUGUGUGUUCUUUAAUUUUUUAUUUUUAAAAAAAUGUGUAUUUUGUUUAGUUUGAGAGAGAGAGAGAGCACACCAGCAGGG